UUUGCAACGGUGGGGUCCCUCGGCCUGGCCUGCAUCCUCUCACAACCCGGGACUCGUCAAGGGAUGUCGGAGAACGGUUUUGGCCCAAUCCCGCAGGCCAGGCUGAGGGACCCCACUGGUGCACA
rnacentral:pre_miRNA from 1 species